rnacentral:rRNA from 1 species
UACGGAGGGAGCUAGCGUUGUUCGGAUCUACUGGGCGUAAAGCGCACGUAGGCGGCGCCGUAAGUCAGGGGUGAAAUCCCGGAGCUCAACUCCGGAACUGCCCUUGAAACUGCAGUGCUAGAAUCCUGGAGAGGCGAGUGGAAUUCCGAGUGUAGAGGUGAAAUUCGUAGAUAUUCGGAAGAACACCAGUGGCGAAGGCGACUCGCUGGACAGGUAUUGACGCUGAGGUGCGAAAGCGUGGGGAGCGAACAGG